GAGUAAUUUGAAAUAAAAGAUUUUGAGAAACUCCAAAUGAAAGCAUAAGCUGAGAAUCAAGGAGUUUGAUUGUAGGAAAAGGGAAAGACGUGUCAGACGAGUAUGAUCGACCUACUAAUUAAAUGCAUUUUAAAGAUUUUUUUUCUCACUCUCAAUACACAAAGGAGCAACAAACAAACAUCAUAUUAAAACAUAUGCACCAGCAUGUAUGCACAACAAUGUUGCUAAACCCUAUGAUAAAUUUUAAUUUAAUAAAAAAUAUUUUUUUUCUAUAUUUUUAUGAGCACAAAACUACACAAUUAAAUUAUUUUCUUCUAUUUUGAAAACUUGCAAAAAUUUAGGGUGUUACAACGAAGAAAUUUGGUCCAUCGAUAUGACGAGGCCUACUUGAUUCUCCUGUCGGGCAAUCUUCUUUCUCUCCAAAGCCAUCGCCGUUUCCGCUGUCUCCCCAUCCCCCGCGUCUACCAUCACAGGGCUAGCAAGGCAAUAUUCUAUAUCGUGAAGAUGCUAGGAUUGAUGCCCGUCAAGAUGUACAUGUUGGAAAUGACAUAGAGGAACUUGAAAACAUAAAAAAAUUGCCUUUUGGUAAAUUAAUUAAAUAUUGUUUUUUAUUUUCUCUAUUACAUUAAUGCAAAAUAUCACACUAUAAUUACUAUACAUUCUUUUGCUCUAUAGAUCCAAACAAAUCAAAAAACAAUGAUGGAAACAAACCAUAUAACAAUGACAUACGUAGGUCUUACUGAGGUAACACGGACAUUUACGAAUCCAAAUAGAUAAAGUUCUGAGUAAUCUGAGUACAAAUUUUAAUCAUAUCCUACUCUCUACACAGAACAAAACAUUUUUUCAAAUCGUCUUUUCUAAAUCUAAUAAUUUUUUUCUAUAGUACUGUGAACUUCGUUUGUCAGGAUGUCUUUUUUUUUAUUUGUCGUUUUUGCCUUUUUUUCAUCAUCAUGGCAUCGGUUUAGGUUUUAUUCAUGCACGUUGGUUUUUAUUUCCUUUUUGUUUUGUUUUUCUUCCCUUUCUUUAAUCGGUCAUGGCAUCCUUUUAUGUUUCCUUUUUUGGGUCCAUCUGCAUAGGAAGCAUUUCAUUUUUUUUCCUUUUCAUCCGUUAGCAAUUUCAUAGUUCUUAUCUUCAUGGACUCCUAUACGGACUCUAUGGACUCCUAAUUGUAAAUCACAUAGACCUAUAUAUAUACGGACACUGAUGAAAGGCCUAGUGAACAUAUAAAGAUAUGAUGAAUUGAAAUUUUUACAAUUAUAUAUUAGGCAUAUAUAUAUAGUCUCCGUAUAUGAUUUAGAUGUCGUUUAAGGCAGUUUCAUAAUUUUUUCAAAACACAAUUUAACCUCAUAUUUUAUAAAAUAUUUAGAAAAUAAUAUAUAUAUAUAUAUAUAUAUAUAAUGUGUGUGUACACUUUUAUGAAAGCUAUUUAGAAUUUAUAUUUUUAAUGAUUGAUCUAAACUUUGUCCAAAACGACUUCUAAAUCAUAGAUGAAGUAUAUAUAUUACUCUUAUAGCAUCCGUGCAAACUCCACAACCUCUUGCUAGCUAGCACCCACUAGUAGAAAAGAGUACAACGCCGAUGCCUCUUUUUUAUACUACAUGUGGUUGUAGUUAUCACGCGCCUGUAGUGUAAAAAGGGCAGUGUCAGAACUAC
rnacentral:lncRNA from 1 species